UACAGAGGGGGCAAGCGUUGUUCGGAUUUACUGGGCGUAAAGGGCGCGCAGGCGGCGGAUCAAGUCAGACGUGAAAGCCCCGGGCUUAACCUGGGAACUGCGUUUGGGACUGAUUUGCUAGAGAUCGGGAGAGGAGAGUGGAAUUCCCAGUGUAGAGGUGAAAUUCGUAGAUAUUGGGAAGAACACCGGUGGCGAAGGCGGCUCUCUGGACCGAUACUGACGCUUAGGCGCGAAAGCGUGGGGAGCAAACAGG
rnacentral:rRNA from 1 species